GAGAGAGCGAGCGCCUGAGAGCCAGAGAGCCACCUCCCGCCCCGCCCCCGCCAAGCCCCGCGGAUCUAGGACCCUCGCGCCACAGGCGGAUUUGUGCAGCGUCGCGGUGGCUAGCAUCCGCUGAGCAGCCAGCCUGGGCGCGGAAGCUGGACGGGGACCACCGUGGAACAGAACAGACCUGGUCCAGUGCUGUCGGGGUUCAGCCCAGUGGGAUUUCCCAAGACUGAAAGCUGUGGGUGCCGGAACGAAAAAGACACUUCAAGUUCUGGAGGGGGCGUGCACCCGAGGCACUGGAGUAGGGCACAGGGAGGAUUCCUAGAGGUGUGUGGCUACUGCAGGCCAGGCUACGGGAGACUUGCUCAUGAACACUGCUGGGUGGAUGAACCAGCGGGGAAAAUGAGCUGGAGCUGGAGGGUUGAUUCAUUCUGCUACCCACCCCGCCCUCCACCCCCAAAAAGGCUAACCUAGGAGGGAGGAGCUUCAACAUGCAUUUUAGGAAAAUUCGUUGGGCACCCCAGUGGAGAAUGGACUGCAGGGGGCAGCCGGAAGUCUGGCGCCAGCCUCAAGGGAUUGCUGGAAGAUGACAGCAGUGGGCAUGAAGAUUAAAGAUCAAGCUGAGAGCAAUUCUGACUGUAGAAUUGAAGGCACAGACAGGGUUUGGAGCCGGCUGGACAAAGAAUUGAGAGAAGGCGGGGUCUAGGAUGGCUGUGGGUCUUGGCUGGGGGCCUGGCAGUUCUGGAGCUAGGGGGUAAGGGGAUGGGGUGGAUGAGCUCAGACUUAGACCUGGUGGGCCUGAGAUGGUGGCGGUGGGUGUGAUCACCAGCUACCUACCAUGCAGCAAGACUUAGGGCGUACUUGGGACCAGGUACCAAGUACCAGGCGUAUUUCUCAGAUUCUUUAACAUCGCCCUCCCAAUUAAACGUAAGGUAGGGGCUUCUCUUGUCCUCUAAGAUACGCAGGCCAGAGACUCAAAUAGAAAAUGGUUUGCUCAGGAGCAAGUGAUGACCUUAGUGCGAGUUGUACAGUCCAGAGAGCUGGAGAACGCCUGAUGGCUCAUGGGAAUGGAGGACUGCCAAGGGUGGGCAGCAGCGUGGUGAGCCAAGAGUUCCCUAGAACUGAGCGAGGACGUAUCAAUGGAGCUCAGAGCAUCUCAGAGCUGGAGGACCUCUGGGUAUCUUAGAAUUCUGCUGAAAGUCUGGUUAGACUGUAGAGUCAUGUGGAGGAAAUGUCUCUGGUGACCACCUGUGCAGGCAGACUCUAGGACAGUGGUUCUCAACCUCCCUAACGCUGAGACCCUUUAACAGUCCCUCAUGUUGGGGUGACCCCCAACCAUAAAAUUAUUUUUGUUGCUACUUCAUAA